GAUGAACGCUGGCGGCGUGCCUAAUACAUGCAAGUCGAGCGAAUGGAUUAAGAGCUUGCUCUUAUGAAGUUAGCGGCGGACGGGUGAGUAACACGUGGGUAACCUGCCCAUAAGACUGGGAUAACUCCGGGAAACCGGGGCUAAUACCGGAUAACAUUUUGAACCGCAUGGUUCGAAAUUGAAAGGCGGCUUCGGCUGUCACUUAUGGAUGGACCCGCGUCGCAUUAGCUAGUUGGUGAGGUAACGGCUCACCAAGGCAACGAUGCGUAGCCGCCCUGAGCGGGUGAUCGGCCACACUGGGACUGAGACACGGCCCAGACUCCUACGGGAGGCAGCAGUAGGGAAUCUUCCGCAAUGGACGAAAGUCUGACGGAGCAACGCCGCGUGAGUGAUGAAGGCUUUCGGGUCGUAAAACUCUGUUGUUAGGGAAGAACAAGUGCUAGUUGAAUAAGCUGGCACCUUGACGGUACCUAACCAGAAAGCCACGGCUAACUACGUGCCAGCCGCCGCCGUAA
rnacentral:rRNA from 1 species